GCUUCCUACGGGAGGCAGCAGUAGGGAAUCUUCCGCAAUGGACGAAAGUCUGACGGAGCAACGCCGCGUGAGCGAUGAAGGCCUUCGGGUCGUAAAGCUCUGUUGUUAGGGAAGAACAAGUACCGGAGUAACUGCCGGUACCUUGACGGUACCUAACCAGAAAGCCACGGCUAACUACGUGCCAGCAGCCGCGGUAAUACGUAGGUGGCAAGCGUUGUCCGGAAUUAUUGGGCGUAAAGCGCGCGCAGGCGGUCCUUUAAGUCUGAUGUGAGAGCCCACGGCUCAACCGUGGAGGGUCAUUGGAAACUGGGGGACUUGAGUACAGAAGAGGAAAGCGGAAUUCCACGUGUAGCGGUGAAAUGCGUAGAGAUGUGGAGGAACACCAGUGGCGAAGGCGGCUUUCUGGUCUGUAACUGACGCUGAGGCGCGAAAGCGUGGGGAGCAAACAGGAUUAGAUACCCUGGUAGUCCACGCCGUAAACGAUGAGUGCUAAGUGUUAGAGGGUUUCUGCCCUUUAGUGCUGCAGCUAACGCAUUAAGCACUCCGCCUGGGGAGUACGGCCGCAAGGCUGAAACUCCAAAAAGGAGACGGAAGC
rnacentral:rRNA from 1 species